CAAUAGCGUAUAUUAAAGUUGUUGCAGUUAAAAAGCUCGUAGUUGGAUUUCUGUGAGAGUGCCGGUGUCGGCUGAUGCUUGUACGCAGGCGCUCUUACAUCCUUCUGUUAACUGUUCUUGGCAUUUUAUUGCUGGUUCAGGGCUCAGAUAUUUUACCUUGAGAAAAUUAGAGUGUUUCAGGCAGGCUUAUGCCGGAAUACAUUAGCAUGGAAUAAUGGAAUAGGACCUGUGCGUCUCUCGGGGCGCCGGUCUCCGUUGUUGGUUUCGGGGACUAAUGUAAUGAUUANUAGGGAUAGUUGGGGGCAUUAGUAUUUAAUAGUCAGAGGUGAAAUUCUCGGAUUUGUUAAAGACUAACUUAUGCGAANGNAUUUGCNAAGGAUGUUUNCAUUA
rnacentral:rRNA from 1 species